UUAACUCAAAUUAGUAUGCAGUUGGAACAGCGCCCCUAGCGGCAAACGUAGGCAAACGUUCCAGCUCCAUACAAAUUUUUGUUA
rnacentral:pre_miRNA from 1 species